UACGGGGGGGCAAGCGUUGUUCGGAAUUACUGGCGUAAAGGGCUCGUAGGCGGCCAACUAAGUCAGACGUGAAAUCCCUCGGCUUAACCGGGGAACUGCGUCUGAUACUGGAUGGCGUUGAGAUUGGGAGAGGGAUGCGGAAUUCAGGUGUAGCGGUGAAAUGCGUAGAGAUCGGGAAGAACACCCGUGGCGAAGGCGACGUGCUGGGCUGAACCUGACGCUGGAGAAUGCGAAAGUGUGGGGAGCAAACGGG
rnacentral:rRNA from 1 species